UACGUAGGGUGCAAGCGUUGUCCGGAAUUAUUGGGCGUAAAGAGCUCGUAGGCGGUCUUUUAAGUCGGGGGUGAAAUCCUGGAGCUCAACUCCAGAACUGCCUUCGAUACUGGAAGACUUGAGUCCGGGAGAGGUGAGUGGAACUGCGAGUGUAGAGGUGAAAUUCGUAGAUAUUCGCAAGAACACCAGUGGCGAAGGCGGCUCACUGGCCCGGUACUGACGCUGAGGUGCGAAAGCGUGGGGAGCAAACAGG
rnacentral:rRNA from 1 species